AGCAUAUUAAUGAGGGGAGGAAAAGAAACUAACAAGGAUUUUCUUAGUAGCGGCGAGCGAAAAGAAAAUAGUUCAGCACUAAGUCACUUUGUCUUUAUGGCAAAUGUGAGAUGCAGUGUAUGGAAUGUCAAAUUUCUAGUAUGAGAAAUUAACGAUUUAAGUCCUUCUUAAAUGAGGCCAUUUACCCAAAGAGGGUGCCAGGCCCGUAUAACGUUAAUGAUUACUAGAUGGCAUUUCCAAAGAGUCGUGUUGCUUGAUAGUGCAGCACUAAGUGGGUGGUAAACUCCAUCUAAAACUAAAUAUAACCAUGAGACCGAUAGUAAACAAGUACCGUGAGGGAAAGUUGAAAAGAACUCUGAAUAGAGAGUUAAAUAGUACGUGAAACUGCUUAGAGGUUAAGCCCGAUGAACCUGAAUAUCCGUUAUGGAAAAUUCAUCAUUAUGAUUUUAAUAUUUAUAAUAUUAUAAUAAUGGUGUGCAUUUUUUCUAUAAAGGACAUUGUAAUCUAUUAACUUUACAUUAUUUAUCAUAAGAUCAUUAGAUUAUGUUUAUUCAAAUUAUUUUGCUUGCAAUUUAAUAUCGAAUAAAUUCUUUUGAUUUGAUAAAGCGUUGAUAGAUUUAUUAUAUACAGUGCUUAAAUAUUUAUAUUUUAUAAUAUCAUAUUAAUCAAUGAUUUUUAUGUUCAUUAUAUGCACUUGUAUGAUUAACAAUGCGAAAGAUUCAGGAUACCUUCGGGACCCGUCUUGAAACACGGACCAAGGAGUCUAACAUAUUUGCAAGUUAUUGGGAAUAAAAACCUAAUAGCGAAAUUAACAUAACUUUAAUGGGAUUAGUUUUUAGCCUAUUUAUAGUCUAUUAAUUCAAUCCCGGGGCGUUCUAUACAGUUAUGUAUAAUAAUAUUUAUAUUAUUUAUACCUCUAACUAGAGCGUACCUUGAGCAUAUAUGCUGUGACCCGAAAGAUGGUGAACUAUACUUGAUCAGGUUGAAGUCAGGGGAAACCCUGAUGGAAGACCGAAACAGUUCUGACGUGCAAAUCGAUUGUCAGAAUUGAGUAUAGGGGCGAAAGACCAAUCGAACCAUCUAGUAGCUGGUUCCCUCCGAAGUUUCCCUCAGGAUAGCUGGUGCAUUUAAAAAUUAUGUAAAAUAAUCUUAUCUGGUAAAGCGAAUGAUUAGAGGCCUUAGGGUCGAAACGAUCUUAACCUAUUCUCAAACUUUAAAUGGGUAAGAACCUCACCUUUCUUGGUAUGAAGGUUGUGGUUGUGAUAUAAUGUGCCCAGUGGGCCACUUUUGGUAAGCAGAACUGGCGCUGUGGGAUGAACCAAACGUAAUGUUACGGUGCCCAAAUUAACAACUCAUGCAGAUACCAUGAAAGGCGUUGGUUGCUUAAAACAGCAGGACGGUGGACAUGGAAGUCGUAAUCCGCUAAGGAGUGUGUAACAACUCACCUGCCGAAGCAACUAGCCUUAAAAUGGAUGGCGCUUAAGUUGUAUACCUAUACAUUACCGCUAAAGUAGAUGGUUUAUGUUCAAUCUCGGUUGGAUUAUAAACUUUGAAACUUUAGUGAGUAGAGGGUACAAUGGUGAGCAUAGAAGUGUUUGGCGUAAGCCUGCAUGGAGCUGCCAUUGGCACAGAUCUUGGUGGUAGUAGCAAAUAAUCGAAUGAGACCUUGGAGGACUGAAGUGGAGAAGGGUUUCGUGUGAACAGUGGUUGAUCACGAGUUAGUCGGUCCUAAGUUUAAGGCGAAAGCCGAAAAUUUUCAAGUUAUAAUGAAUAAGUAAAAUAUAUACAAGUAUAUAUAAGAAAAAGUAAUAAAACACUUGAAUAAUUUUGAACGAAAGGGAAUACGGUUCCAAUUCCGUAACCUGUUGAGUAUCCGUUUGUUAUUAAAUAUGGGCCUUGUGCUCAUCCUGGCAACAGGAACGACCAUAAAGAAGCCGUCGAGAGAUAUCGGAAGAGUUUUCUUUUCUGUUUUAUAGUCGUACUACCAUGGAAGUCUUUCGAAGAGAGAUAUGGUAGAUGGACUAGAAGAGCAUGACAUUUACUGUUGUGUCGAUAUUUUCUCCUCGGACCUUGAAAAUUUAUGGUGGGGUCACGCAAACUUCUCAACAGGCCGUACCAAUAUCCGCAGCUGGUCUCCAAGGUGAAGAGUCUCUAGUCGAUAG
rnacentral:rRNA from 1 species